AUUGGACGCUGGCGGCAUGCCUUACACAUGCAAGUCGAACGGCAGCAUAGAGAGCUUGCUCUCUGAUGGCGAGUGGCGAACGGGUGAGUAAAGCAUCGGAACGUACCGUGUAGUGGGGAUAACGUAGCGAAAGUUACGCUAAUACCGCAUACGCACUGAGGUGGAAAGCAGGGGAUCACAAGACCUUGCGCUAUACGAGCGGCCGAUGUCAGAUUAGCUAGUUGGUAGGGUAAAGGCCUACCAAGGCGACGAUCUGUAGCGGGUCUGAGAGGAUGAUCCGCCACACUGGGACUGAGACACGGCCCAGACUCCUACGGGAGGCAGCAGUGGGGAAUUUUGGACAAUGGGGGCAACCCUGAUCCAGCCAUGCCGCGUGAGUGAAGAAGGCCUUCGGGUUGUAAAGCUCUUUCGGCCGGGAAGAAAUCGCACAGGCUAAUACUCUGUGUGGAUGACGGUACCGGCAUAAGAAGCACCGGCUAACUACGUGCCAGCCGCCGCAGUAA
rnacentral:rRNA from 1 species